UUUUUUUUUUUCCCCCAUGAGUUGUUGCCUUAACUGAACUUUCAACAGGCCACUAUGCCAUUCUGUCAGGCAGACUGACUCUGGGGAUGGCAAAGAUGAGUUAGCCCUAGGUCAUUGUUGUAUUUCCUUUGCAAUAAAACGGGUCCCUUGGUGUGAGACAGUGUUUUUGGAUAACCUUCAGUAGAUCAGGCAUUUUAUAAACCUUUACUCAGGAUUUCCAACAAAAGCACUGCAAGCCAGGCUGAAUACCCAUGUCUGCAAUGUGUAUCAACUUCAGCAAGGAUGGACCAAUGUUCUUUCCCAUUUGGAAGGGGCUCAAUAUAAUCCACCUGCCAGCAGGCCGGUCUUCUCAAGGAAUGGUGCCAUAUUGAGGACUCAACAUCGGUCUGUGCUGUUGACAAAUUGGGCGUUCAGCAAUGGUAAUAGAUAGAUCAGCACUGGUGAGCAGGAGCCCAUGAUGUUUGGUCCAUGCACAGCCUCCAUUCCUGGGCAAGUAGUAGGGAGUGGAAGAGAGACGCCAGCUGACGUCCAUUCACAUUGUCUUGUCUAACUUGGUUCCUGAGAGCUUUAUCUGGAGUAGAUUCUCUGCCAUGGGCAUUCACGUGAGAUACAAAGAUUUUCAAGCUUUGUGAGCCCUUCUGCAGGUCCUUGCAGGCCUCCUUGCCACUGGCCUUGCAGGUGUGUUCCUUCCGGCUCCUGACCUAUCAGCAAAUCCAUUUGCCACUGCCAGAAGUUGAUAUCUGCACCACAGGCCCUGUUUCCCUGCAUACAAAGUGGAUGAUUGAGUGUCUGCCAGAAGCUUUGCUUCUUGGAAGGCCACUCCAGUGGGGCUAUAGUGCAGCAACAGUCCAUCUUCAGUGCCAGCAUGUCCUGCAACUCACCUGCGAACUAGACCCAGAUCCAUUCUCCUCCAUCCGUUGGUCAUAGGGAAUGGAAACCCACGCAUAUGGAAUGAAAACAAACAGUGUUGGUACUACAGAGGUAAGUGACAUGGAAGUGACCUGACCAUGAACUCUCUUUUUCAUGCAACUUAUUUAUACUCUGUGCAUCUGCUUGAUUCUGGUACCAAAUAUACCACUUUAAUCAUAUAAUGGAUUGUGACUACACCCACUUGGCCUUAUGACUUGGUAGAUAGAGUAUUGCUUAGCUUGUGAUGGAGGUCACACAGUCUAGUGUUUCAAGCUCAAAUGUUAGUUUCAGCUAGAACCCAGUAACACAAGGGAGCUAUUAUUUCAAGUAGAGGACGUGGCCUUGAUUAAGAACUCUCUAGGUCUGCCCUGGGAGUCUCAUAUUGGAGCUUGCCCAGCAUCCUUACCCACCGUGAACCCCACUGCACCACCAGAUUUGCUGCAACAUACAGAUCAAGUAGCUGGGCAGCUCGUGCCACUGCCUGAACCUGCUACAGAGUUCUCUCUUCCUCUGGUAUCUUCCUGAGUCACCAGGUAAAUAAAUUUGAGCAGUUUUCCAAAGUGUGGUAAAUGCUGCCUUAAAAUUCAAGGAAUUUCAAUGAGUACUGUUCUUCUUUUGUAGCAACAGGUGUUCCAGGAGCAAGGAUUUGCCCUUUAGAGCAGUGUUCCAGCAUGCUCCAAGUCACUGGAAGCACUAAAAAUGUCACUGAUUUGGCUGGUCCUAAGUAUCUGUGGCAUUUAUCUCCCAUCUUCCAUCAUGUAUGUGUGUUCUCUUAGAAAGUAUCUAAGCCACUUCCUGCUCCCCUGUGCAAUUAUUAUAACAUCAAGAUAAUGGACCCAUGUGAUGUUCUGCAGAAUGUCAAGGCAAUCAAGUUCCUUGAGGACUAGAUUAUGACAAGAAAAUUAACAUAGCCCUAAAGCUAUUAUGUUGAAGGUGUACUGUAGUCCUUGCCGUGGAAGGACUACAGUACUUUUAUGCCAUCACUAAUGGACAUUGA
ensembl:lncRNA